UGGAAAACAAACAACAGACUCGAUUCGUGAAUGGAUUUUAAUACUAACUUCGUGACAUUGUAAUGUGCCGUGCGGAAGACUAUUGAAGUUUCUCAGCCAUUUUAAUUGGUUGGGAUGGACAUUAUUGGGAAACCUACUGAAACCAACAGCGGACAUCAGUAUAUUUGUGUUUUUAUUGACUAUUUCACAAAAUGGCCACAAGCACACCCUUUGAGGUCGAAAUCAGCCAAGGAUGUGACAAACUGUCUCAUAAAAUUUGUCCACCAGUUCGAAGCACCAAAAAGGAUUCUCAGUGACCAAGGCAAAAAAUUUGUCAAUUCUCUCAACAGAAGGGUAUGCAGAUUGUUAAACAUUAAAAGAAGCCUCUGCUCGUUCUAUCACCCACAAACAAUGGCUUGGCAGAGAGAAUGAAUGGCACCAUUCAGAGAGGCCUCUGUAAGGUUGUUGGUGACCAUCCAGAAUUGUGGGUUGAGUAUCUGGAUGCUGUGAUGUUUGGACCUUGGAACUAAAAAGCAAAUGACCACCAAAUACUCACCAUAUUACCUGAUAUUUGGCAGAGAGGCUCA